CCUACGGGUGGCAGCAGUGAGGAAUAUUGGUCAAUGGUCGGGAGACUGAACCAGCCAAGCCGCGUGAGGGAGGAAGGUACAGAGUAUCGUAAACCUCUUUUGUCAGGGAACAAAGGCGGGGACGUGUCCCCGGAUGAGUGUACCUGAAGAAAAAGCAUCGGCUAACUCCGUGCCAGCAGCCGCGGUAAUAGGGGGGAUGCGAGCGUUAUCCGGAUUUAUUGGGGUUAAGGGGUGCGCGGGCGGUCGGUUAGGUUAGCGGUAAAAGCCCGGGGCUCAACCCCGGCCCGCCGUUGAUACUGGCAGUCUCGAGUUGGAGAGAGGUAUGCGGAAUGCGCGGUGUAGCGGUGAAAUGCAUAGAUAUCGCGCAGAACUCCGAUUGCGAAGGCAGCAAGCCGGCUCCACACUGACGCUGAGGCACGAAAGCGUGGGUAUCGAACAGGAUUAGAUACCCUUGUAGUC
rnacentral:rRNA from 1 species